rnacentral:rRNA from 1 species
GAUUAACGCUGGCGGCGUGCAUAACACAUGCAAGUCGAACGAUGAAACUCAUUAGAUUUCUUCGGAAUGAAAAUGAAUGGAUUAGUGGCGAACGGGUGAGUAACGCGUGAGUAACCUGCCUUACACAAGGGGAUAGCCUCUGGAAACGGAGAAUAAUACCCUAUGAAACCAGACAAUCGCAUGAUAAUCUGGUCAAAAUUUUUAGUGGUGUAAGAGGGACUUGCGUCUGAUUAGCUAGUUGGCGAGAUAAAAGCUCACCAAGGCAACGAUCAGUAGCCGGGUUGAGAGAGUGGACGACCACAUUGGGAGUGAGACACGGCCCAAACUCCUACGGAUGGGAGCAGUGGGGAAUUUUGCACGACGGGGGAAACCCUGAUGCAGCGACGCCGCGUGAUUUUGAAGGCCUUCGGGUUGUAAAAAUCUUUUGUAUAGGGAGAUAAUGACAGUACUAUACGAAUAAGGUCCGGCUAAUUACGUG